rnacentral:lncRNA from 1 species
GAUCUUAAGUUCCACAUCCUCUGACCUUCGUUUGUCUCCGACGACCUCUGCUGACUAUCUCUUUGCAUCAACAAGGUAAAUACCUUCCAACUUCUAUGCUCUUAAUUUCCUCCGUUAUUGCUCUUAAUUUAGGGGUAGGCUUGUUGUCUAUAGAAAAGUAGUUGGUGUGAGAGAACCAACUGUCUGCAUCAGCCUCUAUUUCCUGAGCUUCGUAAACAAGUUUGGCAUCAGUACAGUGUACUUUGGAUUUGGCUUAGUCUGUUUUCUUGCUGUUCUGUAUGUAGUUCUUUUUUUUUUUUCCUUUUAUGAAUGCUGAUUGUUCAUAUUUGUAGCAUUUUGGAUGGAAGGAAUUUAGGGACAUUAAUAAAGAACCUUGGGACUUCAUCUUUUUGAACUAUCUAAUCGAAUAAGUUGUGAUGCUGGACAAGUAGAGUGCUCAGAAUUAAAUUUCUAUAUCGUUCUCCGAUCUCAAGCAAACGUGCAAAGAAACAUUCUAGCUAAAAUCUUGAGUUUAUGCUAAUGGUGUAUGUUAAUAUUUGUGGUAGUUGAUGCGUUUGGCCCCAAUUAGUGUAGUCACAAAUAGAAUGUUCUAUUGCUGCUUGGAAUUGUUGGCUAAAUUUCAUCUAUGCUGUAGUGUAGUUACAAUCUCGAGUUACAAAUGCGUAAUUUGUGCUAUGCUAGCAGUUUGGAUUUGCUAUAAUUUCAUGGAUUUCAUUGGUUUUUAUAGUUGCAUCAUUUGUUCAAUUAAUAAUUGUUUGGAUGUGGGUUUUGUAUGUACAAAUUAAUAAUGAUACUCGUGUGUCAUUCAUAUCUCACAAUCCUUCUCUUAAAAAACAAUGCCCCUACUACUAAUACACAUCUAUUUUUUCAUAACCCAAUAAGAUGGGGGCCAAUUAAUCACUCAUAUUACACUCAUGGGUUAUUGAAUCAUGCCUUACUUUUUUUAAUAUUGUACAUUUUUCAGUGAUUUAAUUAUUUAACACAAUUAUUAAUGGAAGAACUAAUUAAUUUAGUGUGUGUGAGUGUGUGGUGAAAAUAAAAGGGAAUUUAGCUUAUUCAUUUUCCAUAUCAUAAGGAGUUUGCUUUUUUUUAUAUUAAUCAAGGUCAUUUAGAGGUCUUAGAGGUGAAGUUAAGUAGAAUUUAGACUAUAAAUAUAUCUUACUUUCUUGUUGUUAAGAACCCUUAUCUAUGUGGUAUCUAUGAUGUAGGCAAUUAGUUAAUGUGGUUGUGAUAUUUUUUUCCUAGAUUUUGUUAACUGCAUACUGCUUUCAUUUUGUCUUACUGCACUUUCUAUGUUAUGUUGCUUUUCCCUUGCUGUUGUUUUUGGUAGAGUUUGGUUAGAUAUUUGAAGGCAUGCUAACAUUUUCACCUUGAUGUGAAGUCAAUGAUUUUAUAAUGGUAUACUUUAAAUUUGAAAUUGUGUUAAAUGGCUGUGUUCUCAGCCAACAAGUCGUUCCAUUGGUUCUAUGACUCUGUUAAGUUGAAUUUGUGAGGUUCCUUGGUCAUUUGGGUUAUGUUUAGCUCGAGGCAGGGUUUGUGGCAUUAUGACUGAGGUACUCCUCCAUUUUAAGUAGGAUUGUUUCUUUGUUUAGUGUGUAUAAUGUCUAUAUAGCUACUGCCAUUUUGUGGAUUAAGAAAAAUUGGGCUGAUUCUCAAGCAUUUUAUCUUGUGAGAAGGAAGGACUAGGUAAGUUGGAUCGAGUAAAGGAGUAAUCAAUUCACAUUAAACAAUAUUGACGAAAAAACUUUUAACAUUUCUGAAGAUUUAGUCUAUUAAUAGGAUUGAAACUAAUAAUAUAAGUUAUCAAUAUCUCUUGAACAUGUGAAAAAUAAAAAAGGAUUUUCUUAAAUUUGUUUUGGCGCUUGAAAGUUAUUGCCCUCUCGAGCUCCAUGGAGGUGCUACUGCUAGAAAAUUGAUGAAGUUAAAAUUGAAGAGUAGAAAAAAGAAAAGGGAACUUGAACUCCAUCCGUUAUCGCCGAUGAUUUCGCCAAAUUCUUAAAGCCGAAAUCAUUAAUGUUGGCGCCACUCCACUGGGGCUCAGUGAUACAAUCAGCCGUAAACAUUUUUUUAAUUUUCAAGUUCCCCACUUUCAGUGCUCGUGUAAACUAAUUUAAUCAAAUCUGUUGAUUUUCUGUCCAUAAAUGUCAGAAAUCCAACGGCUCAUCAUUGCCUUACUCAUCUGCAGUUCACAGCAAAAAUGGAAAAAAAUUUGAGCCUUAGUAUGGAAGAUUUUAGAUAGGCUUAUUUGUUGACAUCUCUGGAAAUUUAGCUGCUGUGACAAUUGUCAGUUUCCAUUUUUGGAAUAGGGGUUUGUUUUUCUCCUAAUUGUUUUAUGCAAAAGAAGAGUUUUUUAAAGUAAGAACCUUUUGUUAAUUUUAUUUGGUCUGGAAGAAAGAUUCCCAUUUUUUGGUUGCACAUUUAUUUAUCAUCAUAUUUACUUUAGUUUUACUUUUUUAAUGAACUGACAUUAUUCCUUGAAUUUGUGUGAGGUCUCACUUGUAUUUGAUCAUUCUUAGAUGAAACGGCAUCAUCUCACUUGCAUUUGACCCUUUCCUUGCUAUCUUUGGCUCCCGUCUGUCCCUUCCAUCAUCAGGUGAGUGAGGUUCCUUAUUAUUUUCUGCCUUUAACUUUGUUGGCUUCUUCUGUUAUGUUGUUGCUCGUCAACUUUCGUGUAUUUCUGUAGGUGAUCGUAGUCGAGUGUAUCAAUUGUUUAGUUUGAAUCUAAAAAAAUAAUAGUAAUAAUAAUAAUCAUGGUGGAGUAGACUACUUGAUUUAGAUGAAAGCUAUUCUUUUGUGGGGUUUACAUCAUAAUCUCUAUUAGCAUGUUAAUCUAGAAACUUUAUAGUGGUUAACACAUUACCUCUCUUGUCUUCAGUUUAUUAUUCUUGUUUUUCUAUAUCCGUGGAAUUCCACCUUUCACCAACUCUUUAGGGUUUAGGGAAGAUUUAUGGUUUAGGCCUUUGUUUGAAUUACUAAAAUCUUAUUAUGCAGAUAAAUGUUAAACCCGGAAGAUCAGCAAUACCUGCGAGAGCUGCAAGAGCUUAGCAAUUCUCUUUUGCUCGACAAAGAUAGAACGAAUGAUUUGGUAAACAGUAGCAACGCGGGUCUAAUGGUGGCCAUGCUAAACGACGACAACCUACAGUGCAUUAGAAAUUUACAUGGCGUAUUGCGUGAUGCUGCUGCGAUUGUUGGAACGGUGAAUCAACUUACUCUACCGUUGGAUAACUAUAGAGCCAUUAUAUUAGCUAGAUACCGAGAACUUGAAAAUCGAAUAUGGCGACUCAUCAACCAAGGUUAUCGAGUAUUUGAUAUGCUUUAUUUACAAAUAAUUUCAUAUACUGCUAAUCAGUUGCUGAAAGCAUACAUUGUUGUAGAAAAUACCGUUUCUUAUAUCCGCAUGAGACUUCAGUCAAUAUUAUCGAAUGCUAUGGAGAGUGCUUCUCAUUUAAAACAGGCAAUGAUACAAGCGGAGGAGAGGAGGAUUGCAGCGAUUAAAUGUAAAUGUAGGACCAGCUGUGGAAACCGUUGUGGUUGUUGUAGGUUUGGAAAGCAAUGCACAGAUGCCUGCAGUUUCUGCCGAAACAGUAAUUGUCAGAAUAGAUAAUUACGAAGAUAGUAGACUAGUUAAUGGAUAGCUUUAUUUUGUGGUUAGAGAAAUCUUGCUUUUGGUGAGUGUUUAGUCAGUUAAGAAUCUAGUUAGGGAAAAACUGACGUAGAGCAUACUCCUAAAGAUAAUUGUGAGCACAUAUCUGAUUGGUCUUGAAGACCAAAGUUUUGUCUCUGUAUAGACAUUAUACAUGUUUACGAAGUUCUAGCCUUUAGCUUGGAGUACGCUAUAGCGUAUUUGCUCAAAUCCCUAUAGCUUGGAGUUAAUUCCCUAUAGCUUUGAGUUAAUGCACUAUUACUUCACUUUCUUUGUAUAUAAAAUUCAUCCGGCAUGAUACGGAGUUUUUUAGCUCAGUUUGUUUGAUACUAUGGUUGGCAGUCUGAAAAUCAAUUUUAUGAAAUUAUUGUUUUAAUUCAUGUGUUGGGGAUUGCUCAAAUCUUGGUGACAACUUAUACGCUAUAGCUUGUAAGUUUUUUGAUGUCAAAUACUGUUUGUCCAUGGAUUUGAGCAAAUACGCUAUAGCGUACUCCAAGCUAAAGGCUAGAACUUCGUAAACAUGUAUAAUGUCUAUACAGAGACAAAACUUUGGUCUUCAAGACCAAUAAGAUAUGUGCUCACAAUUAUCUUUAGGAGUAUGCUCUACGUCAGUUUUUCCCUAACUAGAUUCUUAACCGACUAAACACUCACCAAAAGCAAGAUUUCUCUAACCACAAAAUAAAGCUAUCCAUUAACUAGUCUACUAUCUUCGUAAUUAUCUAUUCUGACAAUUACUGUUUCGGCAGAAACUGCAGGCAUCUGUGCAUUGCUUUCCAAACCUACGACAACCACAACGGUUUCCACAGCCGGUCCUACAUUUACAUUUAAUCGCUGCAAUCCUCCUCUCCUCCGCUUGUAUCAUUGCCUGUUUUAAAUGAGAAGCACUCUCCAUAGCAUUCGAUAAUAUUGACUGAAGUCUCAUGCGGAUAUAAGAAACGGUAUUUUCUACAACAAUGUAUGCUUUCAGCAACUGAUUAGCAGUAUAUGAAAUUAUUUGUAAAUAAAGCAUAUCAAAUACUCGAUAACCUUGGUUGAUGAGUCGCCAUAUUCGAUUUUCAAGUUCUCGGUAUCUAGCUAAUAUAAUGGCUCUAUAGUUAUCCAACGGUAGAGUAAGUUGAUUCACCGUUCCAACAAUCGCAGCAGCAUCACGCAAUACGCCAUGUAAAUUUCUAAUGCACUGUAGGUUGUCGUCGUUUAGCAUGGCCACCAUUAGACCCGCGUUGCUACUGUUUACCAAAUCAUUCGUUCUAUCUUUGUCGAGCAAAAGAGAAUUGCUAAGCUCUUGCAGCUCUCGCAGGUAUUGCUGAUCUUCCGGGUUUAACAUUUAUCUGCAUAAUAAGAUUUUAGUAAUUCAAACAAAGGCCUAAACCAUAAAUCUUCCCUAAACCCUAAAGAGUUGGUGAAAGGUGGAAUUCCACGGAUAUAGAAAAACAAGAAUAAUAAACUGAAGACAAGAGAGGUAAUGUGUUAACCACUAUAAAGUUUCUAGAUUAACAUGCUAAUAGAGAUUAUGAUGUAAACCCACAAAAGAAUAGCUUUCAUCUAAAUCAAGUAGUCUACUCCACCAUGAUUAUUAUUAUUACUAUUAUUUUUUUAGAUUCAAACUAAACAAUUGAUACACUCGACUACGAUCACCUACAGAAAUACACGAAAGUUGACGAGCAACAACAUAACAGAAGAAGCCAACAAAGUUAAAGGCAGAAAAUAAUAAGGAACCUCACUCACCUGAUGAUGGAAGGGACAGACGGGAGCCAAAGAUAGCAAGGAAAGGGUCAAAUGCAAGUGAGAUGAUGCCGUUUCAUCUAAGAAUGAUCAAAUACAAGUGAGACCUCACACAAAUUCAAGGAAUAAUGUCAGUUCAUUAAAAAAGUAAAACUAAAGUAAAUAUGAUGAUAAAUAAAUGUGCAACCAAAAAAUGGGAAUCUUUCUUCCAGACCAAAUAAAAUUAACAAAAGGUUCUUACUUUAAAAACUCUUCUUUUGCAUAAAACAAUUAGGAGAAAAACAAACCCCUAUUCCAAAAAUGGAAACUGACAAUUGUCACAGCAGCUAAAUUUCCAGAGAUGUCAACAAAUAAGCCUAUCUAAAAUCUUCCAUACUAAGGCUCAAAUUUUUUUCCAUUUUUGCUGUGAACUGCAGAUGAGUAAGGCAAUGAUGAGCCGUUGGAUUUCUGACAUUUAUGGACAGAAAAUCAACAGAUUUGAUUAAAUUAGUUUACACGAGCACUGAAAGUGGGGAACUUGAAAAUUAAAAAAAUGUUUACGGCUGAUUGUAUCACUGAGCCCCAGUGGAGUGGCGCCAACAUUAAUGAUUCCGGCUUUAAGAAUUUGGCGAAAUCAUCGGCGAUAACGGAUGGAGUUCAAGUUCCCUUUUCUUUUUUCUACUCUUCAAUUUUAACUUCAUCAAUUUUCUAGCAGUAGCACCUCCAUGGAGCUCGAGAGGGCAAUAACUUUCAAGCGCCAAAACAAAUUUAAGAAAAUCCUUUUUUAUUUUUCACAUGUUCAAGAGAUAUUGAUAACUUAUAUUAUUAGUUUCAAUCCUAUUAAUAGACUAAAUCUUCAGAAAUGUUAAAAGUUUUUUCGUCAAUAUUGUUUAAUGUGAAUUGAUUACUCCUUUACUCGAUCCAACUUACCUAGUCCUUCCUUCUCACAAGAUAAAAUGCUUGAGAAUCAGCCCAAUUUUUCUUAAUCCACAAAAUGGCAGUAGCUAUAUAGACAUUAUACACACUAAACAAAGAAACAAUCCUACUUAAAAUGGAGGAGUACCUCAGUCAUAAUGCCACAAACCCUGCCUCGAGCUAAACAUAACCCAAAUGACCAAGGAACCUCACAAAUUCAACUUAACAGAG